CAAAGACCCACUAAGCUCACUCUGAGAAAGGCUCGUUUCUUGGGAUAGCAUCAUGCAGUGGCACAGGUGACCAGUAAUGCACAAGACAGGUAGCUGGAAAACGCUCUUCAACCUUAAAUCACAUACCUGGAAAUAAGAAGCAAAUUUUUAGUUACAGGAAAAGAUCUGCUCGCUAUUUAAUUUGUUCUUAGAUUACAUCCUCUUGGUUUAAGAAGGCCUUAGAAGAUCAAUCAAUUCAUUUUUAGUCUCCUUUUUCACUAAGUGAAAGAAUCGAUUUCUGGAUGAUUUUUAAAGAUUUUUUUCUUCCUCUUUCUACUUUAUGAAGCUGUUUGUAACAUCAAAUGGCAAAAAUCUCUCACAUGAAGAAAUGGAGGUGGCAAGUGAAGGAUUAUUAGAGUUGUAAUUAUGAGAGGGGUUUUUGAAAGCACUGAGUGUAACUGAAUGUAAAUUCUAGGAAAGUUUCCCUCAUCUUAGUGUAGGAAAUAUGAAAAGGAAGCCACAGCAGUUCUGAGAAUGGAAGAUUUUAAUUUCCUUUUCAAUUACUGAAGGAGUUCUGUAAAUGUACAGAGCGUGUUUUUUCGACUUAUUCCGAUUAAUAAGAAAUUGCCACAGACCUGCUCAGCAGGGUGGGAAAGGUCAGUGGUAAUUUUUGAACAGAAGGCCUUGGAAAGAUGCUGGCCUUCCAAAAUAGUCAUCCAAAAUUGCCAGUCUUGUUUUCCUCCAUUUUUGCCUUUGCAAUUCAGCUUUCUGACUCUCCUGUUUUCAUUAUGUGCAGUAUUGUGUGCAUCCAUUCUAAUAAAUUCUGUUACUUAGAACAAUGAAGUUGAGCAUGAUUCAAAUCCUGAAUUAAAUGCAAAUCUAGGAGCAGAAAAAUGGAUUUAGUGGUAUGAUAGGAUUUGGAAUAUAAAUAUAUUGCAUUAACUAUAAAGUUUAAUUAAAUAAAAUAUUGUAAGGACUGCCAUUCAAGCUAGGACUGUAUCUGUGACAGAUUAAAUGCGUGCACUGUCAGAACAACAUGGAGAUCACAUGCUGGUGCCUUUGGAAGCUACAGACAACAUAUAUUUUUGCUCAAUUUUGGACAAAUGGUCAACCCCUGCAGAAGACAGAUGUCCUUUUUUCAGGGUCAGCAAUCCUGGUUUUGACACCACAAAAUUUCGUGGUUGAAAUUAUGAAGACUUUCUCCUGAACAGAUUUACUGCAGGACUAUGGCUUUAUUUCUUUGAACUUCAAAACAGAAGAAGAACAGAUUUCAAAUCAUAUCAGCAGCCAGAUAAGUACAAUCUUAAUUGCAAUACUGAUAUGGAACAACUUUAAAGCUUUAUGGCUGUACAGUCCUUUGUGCUAACAUGUGGAUCAGAGUAAUACAAAGGAGUUGGCUGCAAACCCAGGACAAUAUUCCUACAUUUCUGCUCAGUAAUUACUCUUAGAUGCAGGGGGAAAAGAAAGAUGUUACUCUUUUCCUAUUCUUUUAAUGGGGAAAGGGCUUUUUUGUUGUUGUUGUGGGUUUUUUGUUGUUGUUCUUGUUGUUUGUUUGUUUUGUUUGCUUUUUGUGAGAAAUACUACUUUGUACAUACACAAGGGAAUUCAAAUAAUUAAUUGAUGUUUAGAAACAUGGGAGACCAUUGUGAUUUCUUUUCAUUGCAAGUAAAUAAAUCCCAUAGAUACAGAAAAUGUACCCCUGAGGAAACAAGUGUCCCAUUUUCAUUGUGCCAAACAACUUUCUUGACAACUUGGGAACAUUUGCCAAACAAGAUUUUGGCAAUAGAAUGCUUUAAAAGGCAUUUAAUAAGGCUACACAAUUUAAACUAUUUACUUUUCUUAAGUAUUUAACUAGGAAGAAAGGGAACAUGAGGGAAAUGUUUCUUCUGUAUGAAUCCCUUUGUUUCACUGCUGAUGGAGGGAAGUGAGUGCAGGCAGAUUUGAGCUGCUGUGAUUGCACAAACAGCACCUGCCUCCCUUUGCCAUAUGAGAAUUGAAGACAAAAAUAUAAUUGCUCAACAUUUUCAGAAUCCAUUACAAUAGGUCAUGACUAAAUAUUGCUCUCCUCGAAUUUAGACUCAAGGAGAGCCACAUACUUGGAUUUAAGUGCUAAUUCAAACCUUUGAAUUUAGCUUGUCUUUCUUCUAAGUAAUUCUGGCAAAUGUAUUUUCUUUAAUGAUUCCUCUCUAGUAGCAAUAGAUACUGAAAUCAAAACUGGCUCACAGAGUCCUAGGGAAGGCAGGAUUCUGCAUAUAUCAUUUUAAAAUUAAUUUGAAAAAAUCCUAAAUAUCAGUGACAUUUCCAAAAUGCUGAAGAGUUCUGCUGUGGGAUAUAAAAGUAACUAUCUUGCUUUUAGCUCAUCUGUCUUUCAAAGACAUUUAUCUGAAACUUUGGAUAAAUUUGCAACCUCUGAGACAGACAAAAUACUGAUAACUGUCAAGGAUUAGGUCAUGCAAAACUAGACAUGAUUUUCUUUGAAGGUCAUUAAAAUUUUAGUGUUGCAGAUAACAUGACCCAUUUCUUUAUUUGAAAUUAAUUAUAAUAUUUAACAUGUUCAGCACACACCACUAGAAAAGGUCAUCUGCUCUUUGGGUAGAUGAGGUUCUCUGGUAACACAAGAAAUGUUAAUAAUGCUGAUCCUAAAAAGAAAUCAUUUCAAAAAUUACACAAUUGAAAUUUGAAAAUAAAUGUGUUCAGGUUUCCACUUAUAUGCUGCAGUAUUGCCUAAUCACAUAACAGUGUCACUUCUGCACACAACAAGCCCUCAACUAUUUUUAUUUUUGACCUGAGCCUUCACACAAAGUAUUAAUUUACUUUGCAGCAUAAUGGAACCAGUUCUGCUGUCCCCACAGAGAGCUGCUGUGCACUGCAUCAGACAGAUGACAGAAAUUCCUGCAGCAGCAGAAUUUAAAUGUCUCGCCUGUAAUUUUGUUCAGUAGCAUCUUUGUAUAUCUGACAUGUGAAAUAUGUCUUUAGCUUUUGAGACAACAAAUGACAUUUGGGUUUGCUAAGAAGGCUUAGCAAGGGAAAGGCAUAUUGAAAAUGUCACUUGUGUUACCACAGAGGUGUCCUCUGAAAAUGAGCCUAAAUAUCUAUGGAAUAUUUUAAUACUUAGAAAAUUUUCUGAAAAUACCCUUAAACAAUCCAAGUUUUUCCUUCUGGAAAUGCAGGCAAGUGCUCUGACCUAGUUUUACGCAUUUAUUUCUCCACUAUUUUUUUACCCCAGCCCUCCCAAUUCAGUGGACUUGGAAAAUACCAAAACAUGAACUAAUCCCUGAGAAGACAACGAAGAGCUCAGCAAAACCUGAGAAUAUUUCUAUCUCAUCUCAUAGAGUACUAAGUCUAGUGCAUUUUGAACUUCCAAAAGUUAAACAUCCUUUGGCAUAGGAGAACCUAUUUAAAUAUCAAAGGCCAGUUUUGCUGAAUUAAAAACAUAAGCAUAGUUGUUUGGAAAGACCAAAAGGUGUAUUUUUUUUUCAUUUAUCAGUGUGAUAAUAAGAUUUUCUUAAAAACAGAUGAACUUCAAGUGUCCUCAUUGUUAGCAUGCUGGUAUUUUCCAGUAUUUGUAUUUUCUGGCAACCUUUUUGUCCUUCCAGGAGAGAACACUUGUACUUAUUUACACAAAAUAAAGACAGCUUCACUUUGUAAGUUCAAUAUUUUGGGCAAGCAGUAAUAUACCAGUCUGCUAGCCAGUCUUAGCAGGAAGCAGUCCUAGUGCUGAUCACAGUGAGAUGACUCGUGGUCUCAGCUCAUUUUGAGAAGUUUAGUAAACAUCUUAUCUCUAGCACAGGGCUGAUGUAAUGUUUAUAAGAUCGGUCUGUCCUGUUUUGCCAUUGUUGGUGAUACUCUUGUUACCAAAACAGCCUAAAAAGUCUUUUCUUCAUCAUAACCUUCUGAAGGUCAUGUACAGAUGAUGUUUCAUCAUGAUCUAAUAUUUGAAACACAUAUUUAAGGAGAAAUCCCCCAUGCUCUCAAAACACCUCCCUGAAUUUAAAACUUUAAUUCUUACUUAUAAUAAAACUUGAACAACUUGAUACUGUAGAAAGCUUUUAACUCAUCAUCGGAUCUGUUUGUAAGUAAAAUACAUUUUGUCUAAAUAAUGAAUAUGUCAAGUCAUAUGGUGGGUUAUCUAUAUGACUGCAAAUGCUUACUUAACAUUAUGGUUAGAUGAGCAUCUAUAUUUUUUAUCAUAAGGAUCAAUACAUAAAUGUCCCUCAGGACACUUGAGCUAAGGCUGACAUAAUCACAAAGGAAAAACUUCAUGUAUAAAUUAGAAGGAACAAGAAAAAACUUUACAGCCUGGAUAACCUGUUUUGUCAAGGUUCUGAAAAGGCAUCAGGUUUGUUAAUAUUCUUUUUACACUCAACACAUUUUCCACUUCAAACUGUCUUUAGAGUGCCUUAAUUGUGACUACGAUCAUGUCACACACACUUUUCUCCCUUUAACUCCUAGGCUUGCAGCCUGUCAGUUUAAAUGAACUCAGUGUAAUCCUGACACUGCAGGCUGCAGUGGUUCCAUCUCCUCUGUGCUGACACACAGAGGGUCUCUGCUCAUGUGUCACCAUCUGGGACCUCACUAGAAGUGCUGCAGUGGAAAAUCAACCCAGCUCCUCAAUCCUUAGCUGAGCUGUGUCCGGGGGUGGCAUUUGUAGCAAUGUUCCUUUAGUCCUCCUUCACCUCAAAAAAUAAGUUAUAACUGAAUGUGCACAUCAGGAAGAUCUGAUGGCUGGAGAAGUACAAUUUUUAGUAAUUUUCAGAAUAAACCAACACUUUCAAAUUUCUCAGCAUUAUACACGUAUAGAAUAUUUAUUAUAAGGAAACUCACCACUGCUCUCAUGCCUCAGUGCAGCAGGGAUGAGUAAGAAGUCAUAGUGCAAGUUCUGUCUUCAAGAUCUCAGCAACUUCUUUAAUUACCUCCAUAGACAGAAACGUCUUUCCAAGACAGAUCUGGAUUGUGCAAAUGUCUUUGGUUUUUUCCUACCUUUUGCCUGUGAUUAAAGACCUCAGGAACAUCCUUCAACGCUUCACUAAGAAGGUGCCCAUGAGAACUUAAGGAAGAGCAUCCAACACCUUUUAUUUGCUAUGUACACCAUCUUUUAUAAUUUUUGCCUCAGCUGCUUCUAAAGUUGGGGUACCAGGUGUAUGUCUAAACCAACAGAACUUAGCUCUGAGUCUGAUAUCUGAAGGGUCAGAGUUGUGCCACUUCAGAAGCACUGAAUAUGCAGGAAGAGAAGCAAACCAAGUAAACAGAAUGCUCCAUUGCCAAGGAACAGAAAAUGAGAUGAAAAAUUGUAUAAUUUACUAUUAUUAAUUACACUUAGCUAAGUAUUACUGUACCAGCAUAAAAUAUCUUAUCUUAAACAAAGCCAUAAAAACAGUUGCAUAAGAAGUUCCAGUAGUGCAAUACUGGCUGCUUCCAAGCCUACAAUGUCUACUGACAUUUCUACCAAUUAGAUCACCCAAAUAUGUGACAAGCCCAGAUAAUCUGCUAAAGUCACAUUACAUUUUCUUUUCAGUUGCAUACAUCUUUGCAGAACUAGCACUGAAAAUUAGAAUUUUGCUUUCACUAUAUAACAUUUCUGAAAAAAGCAUAUUUGGCUCUGUUAAAAUCAAAUCUUUUUUUGUUUACUCUUAUCAAAUUCUGUGACAGAAACAACUGGUUAGUAGUUAAUAAUGCAACAGUACUGCAUAUUAUUUGUUUCCUAUUCUGAUAAGUUUCUUUUGUUUGGAUACAGAGAUGCAAGCAUAGAAAGAAAUUUUAGAUCCACACUCUGUAGUACAAGGGUGAAUAUACAAGUUUUUGAUUCUCACCUUAGUGAGAAUUUUUUUUAGUAAUAACAUUUUGUGUCCCAUUUUGUUCAGUCUCAGCUCAGGAGAAAGAGUGUCCUGACAAUGACCAUGUGCCCACUCUGAACCAGUAGUAAGUGUUGUUACUGAAGGUCAUUUCCUGCUUCUUCACAGUUUGGUACCAACCCAGACCAAACUUGUUUAGCCUGAAAUCAGACAGAGCUGGAGUUCAGGGUCAUAUGGCUUCAAGUAAAAUGAUGGACUGAGUCAUUAAGCUGAAUGUUUUGUGUAAUUUCAGUUUAAAAAGAAGUAUAAUAAGUAAAACAGCCCAGUUUGCAGAUGCUGAGUUCACAGCUGUUGCUUUUGUUCACUGAUGCAUAGUCCUACUGCACACAAAAAUUUGAGCUUUCCUGUCUUAACACUGUAACACACUGGUUCAGGAAAAUAAAAUACAGGGGAGGUUGGAAUAGAAGAGAUGAAAUGUACCACAUGAAUAAACAGAUACUCUACAGAUCCUGCUAAAUCUGUGCUUAGGCUCAUGUUGGAUCUGUGUCACCAGGAUAUCAGCAGAUAUUGAAAGGCAGUGUGAAUAAGCAACAUUCCCAUUUAAUGUUGAUUUGUCAAGAAAGGAAACCCAGGAACUUUCUAUGGACUUCUGGAAACUGAUAAAGCUCGUGUGAGAAGUGCUGAAUCUCAACAGCACCUCUACAACAGCUUUUCUGUGUGAGGUGUCUGAGCAAGUUUUUCCUUGGUGUCCACAGAAAAUCUGAAAAGUGCUGCUCUACACUGCUCCAGAAGUUAAAGGAAAAAUGCCAGCAAGAGUACACUUGGCUUACAAAGUCACACAUCAACAGGUCUCUAAGAAGCUUGGAACAAUAUGAGUGAAAAGAUCCUUCCAACCUAGUGAGCAAAAGUUGAAAGGCAGGAAAGCUGCUGAAGAGUCACACAGCCUUGAGGAACAAGGCCCAGCUAUUCUGCAUUAGGGAAAGGAAAGAGGUUGAACUCAGUUAAGUUCUUGCCAGGAAAAAAAAAAGUGCAUUAUAUUUGUGAAAAAUAACAGUGUCAGUAAACAGGAUGACAUUUUCAAGAAGAUGCUUAUGCUUUUUGUUCCAGCAGACGUGCUUUUAAAACUAUUUUAAAAUACAUUAUUCCAUACUUGAAACCAAACUCAGUCAAGCUCUUGAGGUCUUUUGUGUUUGUUUUUUUUUGUGGGGCUUUUCCCUUGCUGAAGGCCUUAUCAGGUAUAGGCUGAUCUAUAGGAAACAAGCAUUUGAUAAUUUAAAUGUUCAGCUUUCCAUCAAUCAGUGAAAAGGGGAGCUGUUCUUCACAGUCAGUUAUAAACACUUCUAGAUAAUUUUGUUACUUGGAUUUUUGCAUAUAUUUAGUAGUGUUUACUCAUUCCAUAUACCUACUUUUAUAGAAGGACCCAAGAAUACUUGAAAAUCUGUAUAAGGAAGUACAGUAUGGGGGGGUCUGGAAAUUUUGCAUACAAAAAGACAGGCCAAGGAGUAGUUAUAUCUACUCUUGAAAAAAAACAAUACAUUGGCUACUGCCAAUUUUUCAGAAAUUUUAGAAGGUACCAGAAAUGGACAUUUCUUGCCUUUUUAUAUGAUAUUAAGAAUACAUAUUUCUUCUUUAUUUAGUAAAUCCCCGCAGUGGGGAUAGUUUUGAGGUUCACUGGCAUUAGUCACUCCAUGGAUAUUUGCUCAGUGAAGUACAAUUCCCAGUUCCUAGUCAAGGCAGGCAGACUGAGAUCCCUUCAGGAAGCCACAAUUCCUGUUUGAGCAGAGGGAAUGGAAAGUUCUUGUGCAAAGGGAGCACUGAGCACUGCUGUGCCAGGUGCCAGCCAUGCCCACCUCUCUGCCAGCCAGGAGCUCUCUGCCAGCCUUGCUCCAGUGGGACAGAAGCUUCAGCUUCUGCCUCUGAAGCCACUCCUGACAGCACAGCUGGGGCUUGAAAGGGACCCUUGAGGACAAGCAGCAAAUAUUCUAAAAGUACAUGAAAAAAUGGAAACCUUUGCCUCUGGUCCAGGCAGUAGAAGCUCCGUUGAACUUUCCAGCAUCAGAAAUCACUCCCAGCACACCUCUGCUUCUCUAGGACCCCCUUGGAAUAGCACAGGCAUGGAGGAGCAGAAGGAGAGAGGACAGAUGGCUAAAAUGUCUUCUUGUAUCCUGUCAAUUCAAGCCUUACAGUGGCACACCACCACAUGGGGCCUAACCAGCUCCUUCUUUUGUUCCAGUCUGUUUGCCCCUGAUGAACACACUGUAAUUUAAAUUGAUUCCCAGAACAAUGAAUAAAAAAUGAGCAAUUAGGCAACCUACUUCACCUAACCUUAUUCCCACCAUUGUCCAUCUGGUCUCAUGCUAAACAAUUCAUUUAAGAGAGACUCUUGCACACAGCCACUCCAGUAACUUUCCUUUUUGAUGUUACCUCCCUCCCCAACUAUCAGAGGCAAUUUUUGUCAGUGUCUCCCUCCUCUGUGCUUAUACUUUGCAUGUCCUUCACAGCACUUGUUCUAACCACCUGCAUUCCUACCUGGCCGACACAGACACGUACAGUUCUCUUAAAGUAAACACUUCAAAUGAGACACUGCAGAUGGAGGAAAUCACGAGGCAGCCAGAGCUCUGAAGUACAGGCUGGAUCACUCACUGUGUACUCCCUGCUCUGGAGCAGCAGGACCAUGACUGGGUCAUGCAAGACAGCUGGUCAAUACCAGAGCACUGGAAACAGGAUUGUUUCCAUUCUGCAAAUUAAAUAUCUGUUCAAAUCUAAAUAGAACAAUGUUUGUAAGAAAGCAUCCCUAUUCUACUCCCAGCCAUUGGUGCUUCUGUACAUGAUCCUCUAAAGCUUUUGUGGAGUUAGGAUGAACUUGAGUCAUUUGCAGGGAUUUGAAGGCCAGUUCCUUUUGGAACCUCCAAAAUACAAAGAUGGCUUUGAAAUGCUCAUGUCUAGGCUGUUUAUUUCCAUAAGAAAUGGAUUUUCAUUAAAAUGUCAUUUUCUUCCCAGUAACUGCAUAACCCCCCCCCAAGCAUGUUAUGUACCCUCAAGAGGGCAGCAUGGCUUUUCAAAAUUCACCUUACAAAGGGAAUAAUGCCUUAGCAUAAAAGCAGGCUCCAAUGAGAGCAUGGAAUUAAUGUUGUUGUAACAUUAAUUAUAAAAAAUUAGUUAAAAAAGAAGGUAAGUCUUUGGCAGGCCAUUUUUCACCUGUGUAUUGCUGCUGUUCAUGUAGCACCACAGGGAUUACAGAAGCAGCUGAGGCAGGACUGCAGUUUCCAUGCCAGUUCUUGCUUAACCAAUAUCAACUGUGACCAAUCUAUUCAAAGUUGUGGUGGCAUUGUGUAUAGGGCAAGGAACAGCCAAGCUCUGUGACAAUGAAAUCUGUGCCUGCGAGUGGUGAUGACUCUAUUCAUGCUUUCCAAUGGUACAGAGAAAUUAAGGAUUUAAGGAACACUGACUACAAGGCGAACCCAUGAGUAACUGAGUAUGGUUGACUUUCAUGGCACUGCAUUAUUUUGUCCUUCCAUAAAAGUAUUGUCUCAACAUGGAAGGCUUUUUUCCCCUCCCUCUUUAUAUAAAAAUUCCAGUGCAGAUCUAUCCUUUGGCAAUUUAAAUCUUCUGAUUUUUGUGUCAACAUUAUCAGCUAGCCCUUACACUGCUUCUGUUUUGUUUAAUUAAACGUGUUGCUGCCUUUCACGCUAGGAAAAAAUCUUCCAGUUCCUUGAUCAUUGUAGUAAAAAUUCUCUCUGCCUGUCCCACGUAAAUCUUGUUUGAGCAAAGAUAAAAACUGCAGGUGAACAAUCCCUGUCACUGUCCUUGAGACUUCUUCAAGUAUUCUUCAAGUAUUUCUAUUGGAAAUUCAUCAUGUCACCACAUGUGCUUUCUCGAGCACUGAUGACUUAGGGAUGGUGAUGGUAGCACAUAUUUGGAAGACUUGGAGAGGGAACAAACUUGGGAGUAAGCUGCAGAUACUGGCUCAGAUUCUGCCAUCACUGAGCCUUAGGGAGAUACAAGAUUGUAUCUCCCAUACCUCAUUUUAGAAGGGUGAUAAUAUCCACCAUGCUACUAUCUAACUGGUACCACAGCUAUGAAACCAUAUAGAAAUAUAAUACCACACAUCUUAACUGGAUACUUGUCAGCUCCCUAAAGCAGUGCCUCUGCUGAAAUUCCAUCAGUAAUGCCCAAGGUCAGCUAAGUGCUUUGAUACCAGUAUCACUGCAUAACCCAUAACAUGUCAUGUAUUAGCAGAAUUCCUUUACCCAAUUGAAUUUUCCAAAUCAAAACUUCUCUCAUUUCAGAAGAAUGCUUAUUUGAAUUAUUCCUUAGAUUGCUGUGAUUGAUUUCAUCAUAAAUCCUGCAUAUUAAGGAGAAAAUUUCUAACAGCACUUCCACAACUAGUGCUACUUAACAUCCUUCUACCACCCAAAUGUGGUACAUUGCAAAAUAAAAAUUAAUUUCUUCCUAAUUUUCUGCAGGGUCUUUUUUUAUUAUUAUUUUUGGGUUUGUUUCUGAGAAAGCAUUUGACCUGAAACAGAAGUGACUACUCCUGUUAUCUGUCAAGUUCCCAGUGAUUGCACAAUGAAAUAGUCUGCAACAUUUCUCAUAUGCUCAGGAUCUUAUACAUGAUAUCCAUCCCAAAUGUACCAAAUCUUCCCAGGCUGUGCUCAGCACGGCGUGCUUUGACCCUGCAGGGAAUUAUCUAUGGCUGGAGCAAGGCAGUGCUGAUGGGGGACAUUGAGAUGGCAUCAAACCCUGCAAUGCUGGCUCAGCAGGAGCUGGGCUAAACCGCCUCAGAGAGCAGUGCCCUGUUCCUGUGUGCAUGCCAGGGUGAGCUGGGUUUGGUGCCCUGCCAGCCUGAAUCCUGUGAUGUGUUUGUGAUUUGGGGGAGAUAAGCGGUGCUACAGGGGAAGAGGAGCUGACACCACAUUCAUUGGCCUUGUGCUCACAUCUAGCAAUCAAAUUUCCCUCUCCCCAAGAACAUGAAAUAACACUCAGUGAAGCAACACAACAUCCACAGUAUCUGGCAUUGCACAGCAUCCUAAACAGGGAACAUUUCAUCCAGUCCUUGGCCUAGGAGCUCAGUGAGGCUGGAUACCAAUUCCAGCUAUUUUGACACAUAGAGAGCUCCAGAAAACACAGAAUCUGAGAAAGGACUCAAGGUGAAAGACAUCCUAUCUCAUGCAUGAGGUGCAGUUCAGCAGCUAACACAGUUAACACAAAGGAAAAUGAAAUAACAAGUUCCUUUCUCACGUUCCUUGUUCACCAGACUGCA